UCUUCGUGGAUUCCAUCGGGGGUGGUUCGGCUCGCUGCCAGUUAGCCGAGCUCAGCAGUCGUUUCGCUUCGUCCUGGUCCUGGUCGAGGUCCUAGUCCUGGUCCUGUCCGCGCUUAGUUCGUCUGCAGAAGUCACCAGCUACGGUUCGGAGCUUGCUGUGAUUCGUUCGCCAGAAACGACAGAAACGCCAGAAAAGUGAUACCUUCGUGCAGAGUGCCGCGAAAUGGACAAAUAAGUGAGGAGUG